AACGUAGGUGGCGAGCGUUAUCCGGAAUUACUGGGCGUAAAGCGUGUGCAGGCGGGGGUGUAAGUGGUGUGUGAAAUGUCCCGGCUCAACCGGGAGGGGUUAUGCCAGACUGCAUCUCUUGAGUGCGAGAGAGGAGCGUGGAAUUCCGGGUGUAGUGGUGAAAUGCGUAGAGAUCCGGAGGAACCCCAGAGGCGAAGGCGGCGCUCUGGCUCGCAACUGACGCUCAGACACGACAGCAUGGGGAGCGAACGGG
rnacentral:rRNA from 1 species